rnacentral:rRNA from 1 species
GAUGAACGCUGGCGGCGUGCCUAAUACAUGCAAGUCGAGCGAACGGACGAGAAGCUUGCUUUUCUGAGGUUGGCGGCGGACGGGUGAGUAACACGUGGAUAACCUACCUAUUAGACUGGGAUAACUUCGGGAAACCGGAGCUAAUACCGGCUAAUAUGUUGAACCGCAUGGUUCAAAAGUUAAAGACGCUCUUGCUGUCACUUAUAGACGGAUCCGCGCUGCAUUAGCUAGUUGGUAAGGUAACGGCUUACCAAGGCAACGAUGCAUAGCCGACCUGAGAGGAUGAUCGGCCACACUGGAACUGAGACACGGUCCAGACUCCUACGGGAGGCAGCAGUGGGGAAUAUUGCACAAUGGGCGCAAGCCUGACCGAGCAAUGCCGCGUGAGUGAAGAAGGUCUUCGGAUUGUAAAACUCUGUUGUUAGGAAAGAAAAUAAGCGUAAGUAAAUGUGCACGUCUUGACGGUACCCAAUGAGAAAGCCACGGCUAACUACGUG